rnacentral:lncRNA from 1 species
UCAUCUGAUCCAUUAAAGAAGAUGUCACAACAUUAGGACUACAGCUAAAAUCUACUCUGUGCUAUAUUCACCUAUUUAGAAGGUAAGCUCCUUGAGAGUAAUCUUGCUUUUCCAUUUGUACCUCCAGUGCUUAUAAAGUGCUUUGUACACAAUAAGGGAUUAAAUUGGGUUUUUUCCCCCCAAACUGUUAAUAUUGAUUCCAAGGCAGAAAGAAGAGCAGUAAGAGCUGGGGAACUGGGAUUAAGUGACCUGUCCAGGGUCACACAACUAGGAAGUAUCCGGAGCCAAAUUUGAACCCAGGACCUCUCCUUUCCAGGCCUGGCUCUAUCCACUAGGCCACCCACCUACCCCUAAUAAAUACUUUUUAAGUCUAUACAUAUAAUCAUUCUGUCUAGCUAAGACAAAAUCCAUAUCCAGGAAUACAUAGAAGUGGUUGUUUUUUUAAACCAUUAUAAUGAAUUUGUAAUCCAAGAACUUUAACAUUUAUUAGGCACACAUAGGGCUUUGCUAACAGGAAGCUCAAUUUGAUGGAGGUGAGGGAGUAGUGAUUAGGCAUAUUCAGGUUAACAGUACAAAAUAGCACAAGAUAAAUGCAUCACAAUGGCAUAAAACAACUUGUCAUAAGGUAUGAGAAAAGCAAGGGUUUUUCUAACUGCCUUGGGUGGGGAGAGUUCAUGAAUGAGGCUUCUCAGUUGGACUUUCAAGGGCAAGCUCAGGAUGAAGGAGUUUCAUUAACGCUCAAGACUUUUCAAACUGAGCAAGAGAAGCAAGGUAAACACACUUUCUUGCAUGUCUUUGGCCAAACAGGUCAAACUUUUAAAUGGUUUGACUUGGGGGUAAUUCACUUCCCAAAUCUUAAGGAGGAAGACAGGAAGGUAAGAAUAGCUUUCUGCCCACAGUUUUUAAAAUGCAUC